AUUGAACGCUGGCGGCAGGCCUAACACAUGCAAGUCGAGCGGAUGAAGGGAGCUUGCUCCUGGAUGCAGCGGCGGACGGGGGAGUAAUGCCUAGGAAGCUGCCUGGGAGGGGGGGAGAACGGCCGGAAACGGGCGCGAAGACCGCAUACGUCCGGAGGGAGAAAGGGGGGGAUCGUCGGACGUCACGCUAGCAGAGGAGACGAGGUCGGAUGAGCGAGUUGGUGGGGUAAAGGGCUACCAGGGCGACGAUCCGUAACUGGUCUGCGAGGAUGAUCAGUCACACUGGCCCUGCGACCCGUUCCAGCCUCCUACGGGCGGCACCCUUGGGGCAUCUUGGACACUGGGCGCAAGCCUGAUCCCGCCCUGCCUCGUGUGUGACGACGGUCUUCGGCUUGUAAAGCACUUUAAGUUGGGAGGACGGGCCGUAAGUUAAUACCUUGCUGUUUUGACGUUACCAACAGAAUCAGCACCGGCUAACUUCGUG
rnacentral:rRNA from 1 species